rnacentral:rRNA from 1 species
GACGAACGCUGGCGGCGUGCUUAACACAUGCAAGUCGAACGGAAAGGCCCUGCUUUUGUGGGGUGCUCGAGUGGCGAACGGGUGAGUAACACGUGAGUAACCUGCCCUUGACUUUGGGAUAACUUCAGGAAACUGGGGCUAAUACCGGAUAGGAGCUCCUGCUGCAUGGUGGGGGUUGGAAAGUUUCGGCGGUUGGGGAUGGACUCGCGGCUUAUCAGCUUGUUGGUGGGGUAGUGGCUUACCAAGGCUUUGACGGGUAGCCGGCCUGAGAGGGUGACCGGCAACAUUGGGACUGAGAUACGGCCCAGACUCCUACGGGAGGAAGCAGUGGGGAAUAUUGCACAAUGGGCGGAAGCCUGAUGCAGAAACGCCGCGUGCGGGAUGACGGCCUUCGGGUUGUAAACCGCUUUCGCCUGUGACGAAGCGUGAGUGACGGUAAUGGGUAAAGAAGCACCGGCUAACUACGUG